rnacentral:lncRNA from 1 species
GUGCUUCAAAAGUGCAACAUAGUGGCUAGGAAGCCAUCGAGCGGACAACAAAACAUGGUAACAGCGCAAGGCAAGACGGAUAAGAACCAAAACACCGGAACUUCAAUACAAAGUUGUAAAAUAACCCCAAGCUCAGACUUAAAACCUGUUAUCAAAAGUUUUAAGACAUUCUUGGGACGUCCAUGGAAGAAAUUCUCAACAACGGUUUACAUGGAGUCUUACAUUGAUAACCAUAUAGAUCCAGCAGGGUGGGCCCCUUGGGAUGGUUCAUUGUACUUGGAUACAUUGUACUAUGGUGAGUACAAGAACAAUGGGCCAGGUUCUGAUACUAGCAAAAGGGUAAACUGGAAGGGUUAUCAUGUUAUUACUAAAGCUUCUGAGGCCAUAAAAUUUACUGUGUCUCGACUGCUUGGAGGAGGGUCCUGGAUUAAAGAUGCUGGAGUGUCCUUCAUAUCUGGGCUUUCAACCUAGUGUAUAUUAUUGGUAUCUUAAUUUCACCGAGCACGAAUCUGUUUGAAUUAGCUGAUAAAAAGUAGGUGAAAUAAUAUCUACUGAAAAACACUUUUAGGUGAUGAAACUAAUUUUAUAAAUAAAUACGUGCUUGGAUGAAAGUGCUGAAUUCAUAAUAAUCUUAUAGUAGUAUGUUUUCUUUUUAUAAACAUCAUAAAUAACUACUUAGGACUUAUAAAAAAACACUUAAAAGAUACAAAUCUACCCCAACCCCAACCCCCACAAAAGAAAAAAGGGCAAACCACAAAAAUCCGCCAAAGAAACUAAUUACAGAGAAUCUCCACUAGUUUUUUCUCUCCCUAAUUUUAGCAAAAUAAAUUAGGCAAGUUAUUAUACAUGUGGCAAAUGUACGAGGAAACAGAGAUUCCUUACUUUAAGGAAUGUGAAAUGAUUAUUUUGGUUGCUUUUCUUAAACUACCGAACCUAAUUAGCUAGCUUUAGUUUUUUUUGUGCUGGAUAAACGUAUUAACUUUUAUUUGAAUUUCAAAGCCAAUGUUAAUUGCCAUAAUUUUAUUUUAUUUUUGGUUUUGCAAUCUAUCAUUCAAGAUCAACAAAGGAAAAAACAACAAAUUUGUUACCUAAGUUUUUUAGUGCUAUAAUUUUUUAUUUUAUUUUAUUUUAUUUGUUGUAUCUAAGUUCUUCAGUGCUACAAAAAAAAUUAAAGUUAAUUAUAUGGUUGAAGGAAAUUCUUCUCCAAUCGCCAUGGAUUGAGAUUCUAGAUCCGAAAAGGAAAAAAAUUUAAUUUUCUUAUACCCAUUUUUCCAUUUAAUUUGUCUCUCUUUCCCAUUCAAUUUAUCUCAUAUGGAGAACAUGAAGAACAUUUUUGAAUACAUUUUUCCACGCUCAAAUUUAAGCAAUCAUAUACUUACAGGCCUCUUUUUCGAAACUCGAUCAACUUGUCACUCAUCCUGACCAAAGAUUGUCUAAAAUAAAAGACUAUCUCUUCUACCGAUCGAGUCGAACUACAAGCAGUCUGAUUCUCUGAAAUCUUGGGGAUAUGUAGGCUGGGAUCUAUGUAGAAAACUGUACUGCAUUCCAACCUCCCCCAAUUCCUUUAUUACCUAGUUUCUCGGUUUUAUCAAAAACUCUAAAACCGAGAUAGCUCGUGAAUUUUUUAAAAAUCGUGCUUUAAAUCAACUCUACGAACUACAAGUGGCCUGAAUUCCCAUGUAACUUGAGAUAUGUAGGAAACCUAAUACCGAGGUUCGGCCAUGACUCUAUGAAACUCGCACGAAAAUCAGCCUCUUUCAGAUUUGAAUCUAUGGUCGGACAAAAAUUAGGAACGUCAACCUCCCUUUCCCUAGGGUUACUUACAUCCACCCUACCCAAAGGGAUGGGGCAGUUGUUGACACCUAAUUUUUGCCUUCCAUGACUAAAUUUAAUCCUGAGUUUCUUCAAUUUUUAAUAAAACCAAAAUAAUUAUUUCAUCCAAAUGAAAAAAAUUAAAAUAUUUUUCGCACGUGAUUUUGUCAUUUUAAGUAACGAUUAUAUACUAUCGUGUUCAAUUAUACGAGAUUAUAUAAUUUGUUACUUAAAUAUUUAUUUUACAAAAUAUCGAAUUUAAUUAAAGCUCAUCUUAAAAAUAUAAAUUCAAAUGAUUAAAAUCUUGAUUUAAAUAUAAGUUAUUCUCAAAAAUAAUUUAUUUGGAUAAAUAUGCAUUUGAUUUAUUAAAUCAAGAAGCUCGGGAUUAAAAAAAAAAGCAUUAAUUCGUAUCGAAUUUUAAUUUUAUUUAGCCAAUCUUUUAGAUUACCAUAAUUGAAAAUUGGUCAUAAUUGCAAUGCAAUUCGUCAAUUGAUUUUUAAUUUGGUCAAAAUAAAUAAAUAUGGCUAAAUUUUAAAUUCCAAUUGGGGUUAUAUUUUAAAUAAUUCCAAAAUUCUCAAGAACUCUCAUAAUUUCUAUCCAAUUCCCACCAAAAAAUAAAUUCAAAUUAUACUACAUUAUACUAUUCCCCCCAACUUUAUCUUUUUUCAAUUUUGAAAUUCAAAGAUUGUACUACAUUGUAUUAUUUCUCCCUACAUUAUCUUCCAUCCACCUUAUCUUUAAUUUUUACAUUCCAAAAAUCCCCCUAAAUGUUUUUUCUCUCACAUUGGUGGAUGACAAGAAAUAAAUCUCCAUCCUUUCCUAUAAAUACUUUUCUUCCACAUUGGUGGAAGAGAGGAAAAAAAAUUCUUUUUUUCCCUAUAAAUACUACCACUAUUUUGGUAGAAAAAAAGGGGAAAAGGAAGAAAAAGAAGAGGCUAGAAAGGUGAAAAAAUCCUUUUGAGCAAAAUAAUUACUUUUAUUUAGUAAAAAUUUUUGUUUCAUAGAGUAGGUCGGCUAAUCAAAAUUUUUGAGUUGUCGGCAACGUUUUUCGGUGAUAGUUAAUUCCGACGAAACUCGUAGUCUCAUUUUGCUGCCCCCAAAAGGUAAACACACCUUUUCUUUUCUUUUUUUUUUUUUUUAGUUUUUAUUAUCGUUUUUCUCUUCAUUUUUUUUUCUUCUUCGUAGUUCGUAGAUAUAAUUUUGUUUGUUGGCAUUAUAUGUUGUAGAUGGCCUUGAAGGCCCUAAAACGUUGUGGUAUCGAUAUUCUAAUUAUUUUCAUGUUCAUGAUAUAAAAUGAGCUAGCAAUAGUUGUAUGUGCCUUCUUUGACUUUAUUCUUUGAUUAUUUUCGAUAAAGUUUCAAUCUUUGCUUAAAAGAUGUAUUUAUAUUUUGUUUAAACUCAUUGUUGUUGGAUAUAUUUGUUUUUAGUAUGUAGAGUUAUUUUUUUUAUGUUGAAAAGAAUAGUUAAUAUUGAUUCUUUUGCCUUUUGAUCUUAUUCUUUAAUUAUUUUGAAUAAAGUUUAGAUCUUUACUUGAAAAGACAGACUCAUGUCUUGUUUAAACUCAUUAUUGGUAGAUAUAUUUAUAUUUAACAUGUGAAGUUAUUUUCUUUAUAUUGAAAAGAAUGGUUAAUAUUGAUUGUUUUGCCUUUUGGCUUAUUCUUUGAUUGUCAUAUAUAAAGUUUUGAUCUUUGCUCAAAGGCGAACUCAUGCCUUGUUUAAAUUUAUUGUUGGUCAAUAUAUUUGUUUUAGCAUGUAAAGUUUUUUUUUUUAUGCUGAAAAAAUAGUUACUAUUGUUUAUUUUUCCUUAAUAAAAAUAGUAAUUGAGUAAAUCAAGAAUUUUUAAUUUGCUUGUUAAUUAUUUUAAUGGAUUUCAAAUCUUCAUAUAGGAGAUGAAGUGAUAGCUUUAUUUUCUAUCCACGAUGUUUUUUUUUUAAUUUUUUCUCAUGUUUUUUUUUAAAAUUUGUCAAAAUGAUGAGAAAGUUCGAAUUUUUGUGGCUAAAUAGAAUUAUUUAGAUAUUUCCGAGUCAUGCAUAGUAUGAUUGUGAAACGAUAUUUCACUUUUGAAAAUGCUAAACUUUUAUUCUAAUUUUAUUACUCCUUUUGGUUUGUUAUAUGUGCUCUUUGUGAGUGUACAGAUUUGAUUCAUGUCUCUCUUUUAUUCAUAAUCUCAAAAGAGAAUCAACGAUUUCUUAGAAAUAAAAAUCAUAGGUCGUUACACGUUUUUUCAAUAAGAUAUUGGUUGUAAUUUAUAUGUAUGAGUUUUUGUUAAUGUUGUCUUGAUUGAAAUUUAAAGAUUCUCUCUUUUUGAAAAGUUAGUCUUUAUUUUCUUUUGUUAUGUGGAUUGGUGUCUAUGUUUGUUCAAUUCUAGAAAUCAUGAGUAUUUUUCUUGUUGCCUCAUCCCUUUACUUUCGUAAGCUUACGUUGUUUGUUUCUUGCAUUAAUUCAUUGAAUAUGACCUUCUUCCCUUUACCUUUAUUUAUUCUUAAUAUGAACAUAAAUCAUGAGGCAUGUAAGUGAUUGUCUUUGUUUUGCAUUUUUUGUUGUAUGCUCUCAUUCUUGUGCAAGUGUGCUUAUUCUUGUCAUUUAAAAAUUGGUUCUUAUACGUGGGUUUGAUGCCGCAAGUCAACGUGCACGAUAUGCUUCACUACUGUGGCAUUAAGAAGUCGAAAAGGCAAAACAUUGGUACACAAGUGAUAAUGGCAAUCCGCCUCAGGCUAGUAAUACUGUUCUGAUGUAAUUGAUACAAGUGAAAUUGUUACUUUAGAGUAGCAUUAUUUUUAAAAUAGUCGGCAUUGAAAAAACUUAUUCUUUAUUUUUUGUUUCAUGUUAAACAAUUCCAACUUUACUUUCUUGAUGUUAAUGCACAUUUUAGGGAUGACUUCUUAUUUUUAAAAAAAUUAUUUCCAGGUACUAACACACUACUGUAAUGCUACCAACUAGUUCUGGAAAAAUUACAAAACUAGUUCACACCAUUUAAUUUUUUAAAGUACGAAAUAUUUCAUACAUUGAAACAAAUGUAUAAUCUCAUAUCACCAUAACACUGUUCUAUGAGAGUUUCCGUUGUUUCUUAUUAAAGAUUGCAAAAAUUAGGGUAUCAAAAUAUUGAAAUAUUUUUGAGUUGGUUAUGGAAAUUUUCAAUAUUACAUUUUCUCCCUUUUUGUAUAAUAUGUUAGCAUACAUUAAAGCCUAUGUAUAAUGAAACUUUGUCAUUCCAAUAAACUUGCUAAUGUAUAAUAUGUUGUUAUACAUUGAAAUAAUUGUAUAAUGAAACUGUGCCGUUCCAGUAAACAUUCAAAUGUAUAAUGUUGGUUCACAUGUAUGACAACAUAAUUAUACGUUGAUUCACAUGUGUGAUAAAUUCUUUUACAUGUAUGAUAUCAUAUGCUAGGUUCACGAGCCUUGGAUUCUAUUUUUCAAUUUCAACAAGAUGUGAUUUUCUUUCACCUUUUUGAAAAGGUUGUUGCCUCUUUUGAAAGUCUUUGUCCACCUUUUAGGUAACGAGACUUUUCAAAUCCUUAUUUUCUUCUUUCUUUCUUUUAUAAGUCUUGGAAUAUAUUUUAAGACAAACAAAGACCACACUUUUGAUACGUUGAUUCAGAUAUAUGACAGUAGGUUCAGAUGUAUGAUAUGUUGGUUCAGAUGUAUAACGGUAGGUUCAGAUGUAUGAUAGCACAUGUCAAAAUUAAUAAAAGUUGUUAUACAUGAUUGUGGGUAACUUAUUCAUUUACGAACAAACUGCAUUAACGUAUAAUAAAAUCAAUCCUAAUCGCUGUAGAAUUGCACAUGUAUGAGGGUAACUUAUACAUCUAACAAAAAGUACAUCUCAACGUGUUAGCACACAUUAAAGCCUAUGUAUAAUGAAACUUUGCCAAUCCAGUAAAACUUGCGACUGUAUAAUAUGUUGUUAUAAAUUCAAAUUGUUGUAUAAUGAAACUGUGCCGUUCCAGUAAACAUUCGAAUGUAUAAUAUUGGUUCACAUGUAUGAUAAAUUGGUCCACAUGUAUGAUAUCAUAAUUAUAUAAUAAUUCACAUGUAUGAUAAUUUUUUUUACAUGUAUGAAAUAAUAUUCUAGGUUCACAAGCCUUGGAUCCUAUUUUUCAAUUUCAACAAGAUGUGAUCUUUUUGGAAAAGCUGUUUUAAGACAAACAAAGACAACACUUAUUUCUUCUUAUUUUUGUAUCAAAUCACCACUAUUUGAAUGGUCUUCUUCAACAACAUCUAAAAAGCAUGAAGAACACAAACAACAUUAAAAAAAAAAUGAUAAAUUGGUUCACAUGUAUGAUAUGAGUUUUUAAUUUUUUUUUUGUAACAAAAAAAUCAAAUAUCUAACUUGUACUAUACGAAAAAAAAUAAAAUGAACUACUAAACUUGAACAUGAUUGAAGAAUAAUGAAAUUUGAACAUGCAAAUGAAGAAUAAACGAAAACCCCCUUAAUUGGUAAAGUUGAACUUGACAGAAAAAUUAAAAAAAUUAAUGAACUAGAAUAUUAAACACAAUUAAAUCUUUAUAUCUUACUAUAUGAAAAUCAAAGAUCUAACUUGUACUAUAUGAAAAAAAAAAAUCUAAAAAAACAAACUACUGAAUUUGAAUAGAAUUGAAGAAUAAUGAAUUUAAACAUGUAAAUGAAGAAAAAACGAAAACUCCUAAAUUGGACAACACAGAAAAAAAUUAAAAAAAUAAAAUAACUAAAAUAUUAAAAACAAUUAAAUCUUGAUAACUUACAAUUUGAUAAUCACUAAGUACUUUAAAACAUGGAGUCAAAGUCGGAUGAGUAAUGAGAGAAUUAGCCAAAAGAAAAUCCAAAGCAGUGUUUCAAGCUUUCAAAAAUGGAGUCAGAUUCAGGAUGAGUAAUGAAAGCAUUAUCCAAAAGAAAAGCUAAAACAGUGUUUCAAUUAUAGAAUAUAAUCAUUACUUGCUUUUUCUUUUUCUUAAAUUAUGACAAUAAUUUAACUUCAUCUUUCUUUUACUUUUUGGUCGGAUGAAACAUUGGGAUUUCACACGUAUGAGAAAUUAUUAACUAAAGAGAUUUUUGUAAUUAUUUUGGUAUUUUUAUAAAUAUUUUACCCAUUUGAGAUUUAAUGUAAUUACUUUACUUUAACUUAUAUAUAUAUAUAUAUGAUUUUCAGAAAAAAAAAAAAGAACUUGAAAGUUAGUUUCAACUUUCAAAUAAGGCUUGGGCCAGCUUAUUAGGUACUAUGGGCUGGGCUCAAUUUGGAUCAAGACCUUCAAUUUGCAAAUGUGUGAUUUCUUAAUGAGUUAUUUCUCCGUCCAUUACAGAGCUGCUUAAUAAACACACAACUGUGAGUAAGAACUAGGGGAUGAUAAUACGUAACCUAAUAUUUUCAUGCUUAAAUUUGAAGUUUUGGACCUCCCUAGGUUAAUAUAAGAUGUGAAAUCAAGCAAAAGUUACAUGUAAACUAGUCAUUGUUUGCACUGUAUCAAAUGACCCCUUAGAAUUUUUAUCGUGUCUUUGAGUGUUGAUUCUGUGGAUUACGCUAAUAUUCAUAUGUUUUAAUACAUAGGAGCGUCUUGAGAGAUUUGGAGCUUAAACAAUAGAAAAUGAAUCAAAAUCGGCCAUAUAAAGAUCGACAUUGCAAAGCAUCACAGAAGUAGCGAAAAAGGCCAAAUUUUAUGCCCCUAGCUUUCGCCACAAGAUUGCUUUGCAAGAGUGGCCAAGGGUUUCAGCACUUACUUUUCUCCAGUGGAGGAAGCAGUGAUGCGAGUUUUGACUGCUCUCUCUCUUUUCCUUGCGCCAUAGGUUUGCUUUGUAAGCAUAUGACGUGAGCUUGAGUCUUCCUAUUUCCUAAACUCUAGUCCUUUAUACAUUUUUGUGCAUAAGAAUUCGGAUUUUGUGAAGCUGGGAAAAAUGAAUGUUUGUGAAGAAAGAGCUAGGGANNNNNNNNNNNNNNNNNNNNNNNNAGGGAAAGAUUCAAGAAUGAAGGUUUAGUUUUUUCUUUGAUUUUUUUUCAUUAUUGAAGUUUAAAUUCAUGAAUUCUCUCUCUUAGAGAAUUAUGAGUAGCUAAAAACUUAAAUUUUAGGGUUUGGCGAAUACAUGCAUGAUAACUGACAUUUGAUUAUUGAUUAUAUUUAUUCAAGUUUUUCAAUUGUCAGUUAUUUAUUUUUACUUGAUUUUAGUUAUCUAAUGAAUUAAAUUUAAAUAGUUAAACACUAUUUGUGACUCAUAAAUUGAACUUGAAAAGGAAAUUUGAUGAGCACAAUACUAAGGAAUAAGACUUGUUUGUGAACAUUUCAUCUUAAGCAGAAAGAUUAGCUAAUGGGAUAGAAUUCGAUCGACCAUAGAAAUAUAGGUGUUAUAAUUAAACAUUAGUCGAAUAGUCUUAGAAUUGUUGGAUAAAAAUUCAACAAGCGAUAUUAACCUUUAACUAUUAGCUCAGAAAAAUAAAUAAAUAUAUGACGAUAUAAAAAUUAAACCAGAUUGUUAAAAUCAAAGUCCUGGACAUACAUUUUUUCAAUUUGAUAACAACCAACGGGUUAUUGGUACCCUCAACUAUUUAUUUAUCGAAUAGCAAAAUACUAAUUUAAAUUAGAUAAUCAAUUUUUUAAAUCUUUAUGAGUACGAUAUUUGAACUUUACAAUCCUAUAUUAUUUAUAGGAUUGCAUACACUUGCACGUCUACAUUUCGGACGUGAUAUUUGAUCCUCAAAAAUCCUAAUCUCCAUAGCAAGUUGACAAGUGGAAAAUAUAUUUCUUUUAAAAACCUGUGUCACGUGUUAAAAUGAAUUUCAAUAGUACUACAACGAGAAAUACUCUCUUUACUAGGUACUAAUAAGUUACAAUGCCAAUCAAAACAAAAAAAAACAAGAAACAAAGAUUGAAUAAUGCAGUAUUAUCCAUAUUGGUCCAGCAGGAUUGUCUUCAUUCUAAACAUUAACUCAUUAAGUUGCCGUUGGCCAUGAGUGUUUUUUCAUUUUAUUUUUUGAAAAAUUACUUCACUUUAGUAAAAACGAGUGAAAAUCAUAAUGGUUGGCCAUGAAAAUUCGAAAUACAAUUUGGAAUUGUAUUUUGGUACAAAAUUUCAAAAACAACUUUAAUUUAUAUUUAUGGUCAAACACAACUCUAACUCAAAUUUCAAUUUCAACUCUAUUUCCAAUUCCGAAAAAUUAUUAUGUUAUCUUGGCCAAACGGGACCUAAUAAAUGCUCCAUUUUUUUCAUUUUAUUUGGUUGUAGUAUACUAACUGAGGUUCUUCUUUAGAAAUAUUUAUUAAAAUUUUAUUUUAUGUUUUUAAAAUUUAAUUUUAAAUAUUAAUAUUUUAUAGAGUCAUUUAAUGCUAGGAGUAUGAUUAAAAUAAAAACCAUAUAUAUUGAUGAUAAUGUAAGAAAUACUACACUGUAAAUCUAAUUUACGAGGUUGCUUAACUUGUUUUCGUUGGUCAUAAAAAACGCAAUUAUUAUAGAUAAUUACGCUUAAACAUAAAAUGGUUCUUAUCAUAGAUUGAGUUUUCCUUUUUAAAGAAAGUUUUCCUUCGUUCACUUUUAUUCAUCACUUAUUUUUUAAUUGAGCUUUCAUUUUUACUUGUUAUUUUUUAUAUAUAAAGAAAACAUAACUUUUGUUUUUCUAUAUUACCCUUAACAUUUUGUUUUUUUCUCCAAAUUAAUAUGAAGGCACAAUAAUAAACAUCAUUUAAUAGAGAUGUUAUGAUAAACAGAUAAAAUAAUUAUGCCGUUAGUUAUUUUUCUUAAUAAGUGUAUAAGUUAAAAUAUAACAACUAAAAGUAAACGGAGGGAGUAUUAUAAUUGGUGAAAUAUCUGAAGCCUUAUAUGCAUGGGAAAACUUUAUAGUAGUACUAUAAGCUCUCAAAAUAUAUAUAACGAGAUUCUUUUUUUCUUUUUGAAAAAAAAUAUAGCAGUAUUUUCUUUUUAAAUGUAGAAAAUUAAAAUACAUUGUGCAUGUAUAUAAAAUCUAAUCCUAAUUGAGACCACAGAAAUAUAAUCUGAUUGUAGUUGUAUCAUGUAUGUGUAUGCAUGUUUGCACAUGUUUCGAAAACAUUGUGAACGCUUCGUGUGACAUUCGUUUCUUAUCCCAUUCUAUCUAUUUAAGGGCUUUGAAAUUUUAUUUGUAGCUCACUCAAGUCACCAACCAUGGCAACUUCAAGUGAACCUUUACUAAACUCAACUAAAACAAACAACUUUUCCUUCAAAUCUCUCUAUAUUUUUAUAGCCGUAGCUGCUGCUGUUUGCUCCAUUGCAAUACUUUCUAUUGCAUUCUUCAAUGGCAGCAUUGAUUACUCUUUUCUUUCCACCAAAUCCCCCACAGGGUCUGAAGUAACAACACCAUCUUCUGCCAAAACCAACAACGUUGAAAUGUUACAAAUGAUUUUGCAAAAAACGUCGUCCCAAAUCCAAGAAACCACUACGUUGAUUGAAAAUGUUCGUCUUCGGAUUAAUGACAUAAGAGAGGAAUCAGCUCUAAGAAUUUGCUCAGAAUUGAUGGACCUGUCUCGUGACAAAAUCACGGACACCAGGGUGGCACUUGGGAAGUUGAUGACUACUACUUCUUCGAAUUCGAUUUAUUUCGAUGCUCAUACAUGGCUUAGUGCUGUCCUCACAAACCAUAACACUUGUCUGGAUGAACUUCAUGGUCAUGAAGCCCAUUCAAUCUUACAGCCCAGCCUCUCAGACUUGAUGUCAAAAGCAAGUGCUUCAUUGUCCUUAAUGGUUUCAAUAGCACCAAAAACAACGUACCAUGAUGACCUUAGCCAUCCACUACGAGGAGAAUUUCCCGCAUGGGUUAGUCCAAAAGAUAGGGAGAUAUUGGAAGCUAAUCCAGAAUUACUGAAAAUUAAUGCUAACGUGGUGGUGGCGAAAGAUGGUAGCGGCAAAUACAAGACUGUUAAACAAGCUAUUGCAGCGGCACCGGUUAAUAGAAAUAGUCGUUAUGUUAUAUACAUUAAGAAAGGAGAUUACAGGGAGAAUAUUGUGAUAGAUAAGAAUAAGCGGAAUAUAAUGCUACUUGGUGAUGGCGUCAAGAAUACUAUCAUAACUGGCAACUUGAAUUAUGCUUCUGGAACUGGAACCUAUGAUACCCCAACCCUUGGUAAAAUUUUCUCUCCUACAUCCUUUUCACGUUUGGUUCUACUAGUUUAGGUGUUAAAUUCAAACAUUACACUAAAUAUGAUAUUUGUUUAAAUAAUAAAGAUGAAUACAAUAAUUAAAUUUAAUAUCUUUUGGAGAAUUUAAUAAACUAAACCUAACUUUUACCAAAAAAAAUUAUCAAAGUUGAUCAACAUUCAUCUACCUGUAAACUGCAACAAGACAAUACGAUGAUAGAAACAUCAAAACAAUAUAAUUAAAGUGUUUAAGUUUUGUGCACCGUCAGUGUACAAAAUAUUCUACACUGUCAGUUAACUUAACUUACUAUUGCAAGUUACCAAAUUAUUUACAUAAGAAUUAAAAAAGAAAAAAUUAGGUAACGUGCAAUAACAAGUCAAGUUUACCUGAUAGUAUAGAAUAUUUUAUACACUGUCGGUGCACAAAACUUAAAUUCAUAAUUAAAUCUAACCUUUACAGAAAAAUUUUCUCAAAGUUAUUUGACACUCAUCUACCACAUGUAAAUUAUAACAAAAUAAUACAAUAAUAGAGUUAUCAAAAUAAUACAACUAAACUUAACAUUAACACAAAAAAAAUUCUCAGAACAGAGACACAAAAACAAUAUAACUAAAACUAAUCUUUACCUAAAAAAUUCCUCAAAGUUGUACGACAUUCAUCUACUAUUUGUAAAUUCGUCUACGACCUAUGUAAACUACAACAAAAUAACACAAUAGUGGUCAUAAAACUUCAGUUUUGAUAAAAAUAACUUUUGUCUAAGCGAAAAUUUUGACCCUAAAGAAUGACUUGGAUGAAAACAAAGAAGAUAUAUAUAUACAUACACGUUGAAGUCUAUUAUAUUGUCAAAACAAUGAAGAAGUUGAGAGUUAGAAAAUUAAGCAUCUAUCAAUCUAGACAUGCAACCGAAUCAAGUUAGAUUAGUAUCAAUCAUAUUUUUUCAAUAAGUAAAUCGAUUUCUUCUCUAGUUUAACGUGCAUGUCAAUAUCUAUAGAAGUAUUUUCCUUAAUAGAGUCCUAUUUUAGGAGUAUUUUUCUAUCCUAUUUUAGAAGUAUUUUUCUAAUUGAUCAGUACAAAGGAAAAUAUUAAUUGAUUUUCCUUCCAUAUAUUUUAGGGGUCUCAUAUAUUUUAGGAGUUAAUAUAAUAUAAAUAAUUAAAUAAUAAAUUGAAGGAAAUAAUGAAAAGACAGUUUUAUCUAAACGAAGGUCUUUUAAUGAAGAUCAAAAAGUUCAAAUCACUUUUCUAAUGGUAUUCACACUUUUAAUAUAUUAUUAUAGAUUAUAGAUUAUAAAUAUAGGUAGUUUAAUUUUCAGCAUUAACAGUGUAAAGAAUUUCUACUCUAGAUAUAGCUAACCAUUCAUUGACAUGGAAAAUUAAUCAGACUUGUUAAAAAGAAGUGGUGCAGAUACGUAAACUGACAAUAAUAAACAAAUAUAGUACUACUUCUUAGCUGACAUGGGAUAAUGUAAAAUUUGUAUAUCGAAAGUAAAGUCAAUAUGAUGUUAGUAUAAUUCUAUAGUAGGUAUGCGAGUACUCUAGGUAUAACAUUUACAAGUUGUUGGUUGGAUUUGUGUAAUGCAGCAAGUAACGCAGACGGAUUUAUAGCACAAAAUAUGCGUAUCCGAAACACAGCAGGACCAAAGGGGCACCAAGCCGUGGCACUUCGUGUCACUGGGGACAAAUCUGUCAUCAACAAGUGCAAAAUAGAUGCCUAUCAAGACACACUCUACGCCCACAACCAACGUCAGUUCUACAAGGACUGCUACAUUACUGGAACUGUCGAUUUCAUCUUUGGUCAGUAAUAUUAAAAUGUUCGGUCGACCAAGUUGAAGUAACAUAGUUUUUAUUUAUUAUGAAGGAUGAUUUUUCUUCUUCUUUUUUUCAGGUAAUGCAGCAGUGGUGCUUCAAAAGUGCAACAUAGUGGCUAGGAAGCCAUCGAGCGGACAACAAAACAUGGUAACAGCGCAAGGCAAGACGGAUAAGAACCAAAACACCGGAACUUCAAUACAAAGUUGUAAAAUAACCCCAAGCUCAGACUUAAAACCUGUUAUCAAAAGUUUUAAGACAUUCUUGGGACGUCCAUGGAAGAAAUUCUCAACAACGGUUUACAUGGAGUCUUACAUUGAUAACCAUAUAGAUCCAGCAGGGUGGGCCCCUUGGGAUGGUUCAUUGUACUUGGAUACAUUGU